UAGUCCACGCCGUAAACGAUGAUUACUCGUUGUUGGCAAUACAUCGUCAGCGACUGAGCGAAAGCAUUAAGUAAUCCACCUGGGGAGUACGUUGGCAACAAUGAAACUCAAAGGAAUUGACGGGGGCCCGCACAAGCGGAGGAACAUGUGGUUUAAUUCGAUGAUACGCGAGGAACCUUACCUGGACUUAAAUGUAGAUUGACAGGUUUAGAGAUAGACUUUUCCUCGGACAAUUUACAAGGUGCUGCAUGGUUGUCGUCAGCUCGUGCCGUGAGGUGUCGGGUUAAGUCCCAUAACGAGCGCAACCCCUAUCUUUAGUUGCCAUCAUUAAGUUGGGCACUUUAAAGAGACUGCCGGUGACAAACCGGAGGAAGGUAAGGAUGACGUCAAGUCAGCAUGCCCCUUAUGCUCUGGGCUACACACGUGCUACAAUGGCCGUGACAAAGAGUUGCUACUUUGUGAAAACAAGCUAAUCUCAUAAACGCGGCCUCAGUUCGGAUUGCAGG
rnacentral:rRNA from 1 species